ACGUAGGGGGCAAGCGUUGUCCGGAAUGAUUGGGCGUAAAGGGCGCGUAGGCGGCUUGUUAAGUCUGGAGUUAAAGUGCUGCUUCCAAGGUUGAGGCUGCUCUGGAUACUGUCGGGAUUGAGUGCAGGAGAGGUAAGUGGAAUUCCCGGUGUAGCGGUGAAAUGCGUAGAGAUCGGGAGGAACACCAGUGGCGAAGGCGACUUACUGGACUGUAACUGACGCUGAGGCGCGAAAGUGUGGGGAGCAAACAG
rnacentral:rRNA from 1 species